AGCAGCCGCGGUAAUUCCAGCUCCAAUAGCGUAUAUUAAAGUUGUUGCAGUUAAAAAGCUCGUAGUUGAAUUUCGGGGUCAAUACGUCGGUCGUGCCCUCGGUACGCACUAACGUUAUUGAUCCCUCCCUUCUGACGAACCGUGAUGUCAUUAAUUUGGUGUUGCGGGGAAUCAGGACUGUUACCUUGAAAAAAUUGAGUGUUUAAAGCAGGCAAUCGCUCGAAUACAUUAGCAUGGAAUAAUGAAAUAGGACGUUUCGAACCUAUUUUGUUAGGUUUCUAGGAUCGACGUAAUGAUUAAUAGGGAUAGUUGGGGCAGUUAGUAUUNAAUUGUCAGAGGUGAAAUUUCUAGG
rnacentral:rRNA from 1 species